AACACACACGUCGCUUUUGCAAACCCCAGUAGGUACCUUGCUGCUUUUAGGUGCCUAAACCCCUUUGGAAAUCGGGCCCUAAGUAAUUUAGGAGUACAAGUCCCACUUAAAAUUAAUUAGGCACUUAGAGGCUUUUGGACCACCCCUUGCCCCCAAGUGUUGUUAAAGUAUUCUACAGGCAGGGGGGCGCUCUCAAAAUGCCAUGAGAACAAAACCAAACCCAAACCCAAAGGAGGAUCUUGCACAAUCGCUAUUCCUGGAAAGCCCCCAAAAUGAAAUGCAAAAAUCAAGACAGCAGACCAGGCUAGUUGAGGGCACCCAUCAGCCAGGCAAAGCGGUGUGUUUUAGCAGCUUGCACUGUGCUGGGGAACAUACACGCAUUCCGAGGCUUUUUUAAAAGAAAAAGUCCCACCAAUCUCUUGGGGCUCACAUAACGGGUCUGACGCCGCCUGCAGAACGGUUUGACUUUUGCCUGAGUCAGGACAGCACAAUGUUGCUGUAGCGCCUCACCUCCAUCCCUGCCUCCCCCUCGCUGGUGUGGAUCCGUGGAAAGGAGAGGAGCGUUGCCACCCGCUGCGUCUUUUCACACCGGGCUGGCCAGGCUGCCUGCGCCUGGGAAAUUCGCAGGGAGCGAGGUGUUUCACUACAACGGGUCCGGCAAAAUGCAGCCUCCAGAUCAGCUGGGGGGUAGCUGACACCGCUCCGCCCCCAACACCCCCAGGGCUGCUGGGAAGCCAGAGGGUGAGACCGUGCAUGUUUCCGGCGGAGCAUGGGCACGCAGAUGGUUUGCACAUAGCCCCUCUUCCAAUGGCCGCAGCAGGUGCAUCAUCCUCUGCCCACUUCGCCGCCGGGAGUACGGAGGGGACAGCGCGCUGCAGGGCGGACGGCUGGGGCUGGAGCUGCCCGGGACGUUAAUCCGCAGGGCGAUGCGGAGCGCAGGGGGCCGGAGGCCGGGAGCAGUCGGCGGACAGAACUUUGCCUUCCCAGGCGUGCGGGUGUGAACCCCAGAGCCGCCUCCCACACCCGGCGGAAACACCCUUCCAAUGCAAUCGUUACAAGCACCGGUCCGGUCCCGGUCCCCUCCCACACCCACUCAGCCGCUCUCCCACGCCUCCUCCCUGGCCCUAAAGACGCAGCCCGGUGCGUGCAGCAAGCAGGCAGCUCGGGAGCAGCUGGAGCAACAGGCAUGCAAGCAGCCCACAUUGCUAUUCUCCGCAGCUCCUCAUCCCUCCACCCAUCGCAGCUCGGCACGUCUCCGAGCCGCUCCGGGGAUGUGCCGCGAGCCUUAGGGACAUGGGAGCGGAUCGUUUGAUGAUUUCGGGGGGAGGGGCUAGGAGUGUAGCCGGUCCCCUAUAAUGUCUGUGCCUUUUGAAAAGCACCGCCUAACGUAAUCAACGCUGGUGAUAAAACAGGUCUGCACCUAGUUCGUUGGCAGCAAAGCAAAGGCGCGAACAGCCAAAGGACCCAGCAAUGUAGCCGGAGACCCCACAUCACUCCGAGCGGACACUGAGCGCAGGCAAUCGCGUGCCUCUGACUUCCAGCGGGGUCCCACACGCUGCUCGCCCUCGCUUUAGCUGAGUUCCUCCGAUGGGGGGGGGGGGGUCCGCAGCAAUUACAGGCGGGAGCUGGGUGCAGGUGGAAAGCGUCUCUCUCACCAGCAGAAGUUGGUCCAGUAAAAGGUGGGUCCAAGCAAAACCUCGCCCACCUUGACUCGCUAAGAUGCUGGGACCCACAGAGCUACACCGCACCGCUCCAUGUCACUUGCAGGCGGAUGAAUGUGGCUCCCCGUUCUGCUGUGAGAUUGCAUUCCCUUUCCCAGGGGGAUGUAUUUGAUUUCCUGCCUUCAGCCCUGAACCCUGUCAGAGUCGGGAGAUAAAUGUGUCUGUGCGGGCGCAUCCUAAGUCACGCUACCACUGUGCUAAACUUUUCAAUCACACAAACCCUCCCGAAGUCUCUCCCCUCCCCACUCCGUCCCUUUCACUGUUAUUCAGAGAUGCUUCAAUGGUCCAGCCUCGCUUGUGAAACCCCCUUCCACUGCCUUGUGGAUUCCGUACUAAAAAUGCCAGCAGCUUGUAUGAAAAUAACUUGCACAAUGCAGUGAGAUCACCCGAAACCAUCCCUCCUUCCCCUCCACGAGCAGGCGAGCUCAUCAGCACAGUUGACCAUGCAGUCCCAGAAUCGAAAAAGAGCUCCAGCAUGGACCGAACGGGAGGUACUGGAUCUGAUCGCUGUAUGGGGAGAGGAAUCCGUGCCAUCAGAACUACGUUCCAAAAGACGAAAUGCCAAAACAUCUCUGAGGCCAUAAGGGACAGAGGCUAUAGCAGGGACGCAACACAGUGCCACGUGAAACUUAAGGCGCUCAGACAAGCAUACCAGAAAACCAAAGAAUCAAACAGACGCUCUGGGACAGAGCCCCAGACAUGCCGCUUCUACGCUGAGCUGCAUGCAAUUCUGGGGGGUCCACCACCACUACCCCACUCCUGUCCGUGGACUCUGAUGAUGGGGUAUUCUUCGCCACGCCUGAGGAUUUUGCGGACAGGGAAGAUGAGGAGGAGGUCAACGACGAGCUUGAGGAGAGCACACAGCACACCGUUCUCCCCGACAGCCAGGAUCUUUUUAUCACCCUGACUGAAAUACCCUCCCAACCCAAUGAAGCCGGAGAAGGGACCUCUGCAGCUGCAAAUGUUUCAAGCCUCCCUCCUCCAUCCCAAAGGCUAUCUCAGAUAAGGCAGCGAAAAAAACGCACAAGUGAUGAAAUGUUCUCUGAGCUCAUGCAGUCGUCCGGCACUGACAGAGCUCAGCAGAAUGUGUGAAGGGACACAAUAGCAGAGUACAGGAAAGCGGCCAAUUAACGUGAGGAGAGGUGGUGGCAGGAAGAUCAGAGGAGGUGGGAUGCAACGCUGGGGCUACUGCGGGAUCAAACGGACACGUUCCGGCGUCUGGUGGAGGUUCAUGAAUGGCAGCAGGAUCACAGACUGCCACUGAAGCCCCUGUUUAACCACCCUCCAUCCUCCCCAAGUUCCAUAGCCUCCUCACCCAGACGCCCAAGAACGCGGGGAGGGGGAGGCUCCGGGCACCCAACCACUCCACCCCAGUGGACAGCCCAAGCAACAGAAGGCUGUCAUUCAACAAGUUUUAAAGUGGCCUUUUCCUUCCCUCCUACCCUCCUCCCACACCCAAACCGGGCUACCUUGUGAGUUAUCUCCCUAUUUUUAUAA